AGCAGCCGCGGUAAUUCCAGCUCCAAUAGCGUAUAUUAAAGUUGUUGCAGUUAAAAAGCUCGUAGUUGAAUUUCGGGAUCAAUAUGUUGGUCGUGCCUCGGUACGUACUAGCAUAUUGGUUUCUCCUUUCUGAAGAACCAUGAUGUCAUUUAUUUGGUGUUGUGGGAAAUCAGGACUGUUACUUUGAAAAAAUUAGAGUGUUUAAAGCAGGCUCACGCUUGAAUACAUUAGCAUGGAAUAAUGAAAUAGGACGUUUGAUUCUAUUUUGUUGGUUUCUAGGAUUGACGUAAUGAUUAAUAGGGAUAGUUGGGGGCAUUAGUAUUCAAUUGUCAGAGGUGAAAUUCUUGGAUUUAUUGAAGACUAACUACUGCGAAAGCAUUUGCCAAGGAUGUUUUCAUUAAUCAGGAACGAAAGUUAGGGGAUCGAAGACGAUCAGAUACCGUCGUAGUCUUAACUAUAAACUAUGCCGACUAGGGAUCGGAUGAUGUUAAUUUUUUAAUGACUCAUUCGGCGCCUUACG
rnacentral:misc_RNA from 1 species